rnacentral:lncRNA from 1 species
AACAUGGAGUCAGAUGCUAUCACGUAUCAGGCAGUGACACAGGAAGGACGCACGCCCAAGAGUGGGGCUGAGCAGGGAGCCUGCAGGGCAGGUGGAGCUGGGAGAGGAAGCAGUGCAACCACAGGGUUGGGCUCCAGCUGGGGUGGAGGUGCCCCUAUGCUGAAGGCUGGGAUGUGUGCCUGUCCUGUCCUUGGCACCCAGAGGCGCCCACUUGGGGCUCUGGGUGAGUGAGCCAACAGCCAGAUGCCCUACAUCCAAGUGUCAGGCAGAAGUGGGCCUUGGUCCGCAGGGCUGGGCUGCACCCCAUUGGUGAUGCCUCCUGGCACACAUGUCAGAGCCUCUGUCCAGCAUUCCUGUGUCUGAGCCUUGCUGCGGGUGGUUUAUGGCCCCCUGUGUGUGUUUUUGCUGCCUGACGCUCAAAUGUAGGAGAGGGGGACGGGGCGAGGCUCCAGGGGCGGGGAGGGGACUCCAGGAGCAAGCGAUGGUCACUGACACCGAGUGUGCUGUUUCUCCUCCCCACAUAGGACAUCAAGGACGCCCUGCGCAGGGUCCAGGAUGUGAAGCUGCAGCCCCCAGAAGUUGUGCCUAUGGAGCUGAGGACCGUGUGCAGGGUCCCGGGACUGGUAGAGACACUGCGGAGGUUUCGAGGGGACGUGACCUUGGACCCGGACACCGCCAACCCUGAGCUGAUCC